rnacentral:rRNA from 1 species
AGGCGGAUUAGAAAGUUGGGGGUGAAAUCCCGGGGCUCAACCUCGGAACUGCCUCCAAAACUGCUAGUCUAGAGUUCGAGAGAGGUGAGUGGAAUUCCGAGUGUAGAGGUGAAAUUCGUAGAUAUUCGGAGGAACACCAGUGGCGAAGGCGGCUCACUGGCUCGAUACUGACGCUGAGGUGCGAAAGUGUGGGGAGCAAACAGGAUUAGAUACCCUGGUAGUCCACACCGUAAACGAUGAAUGCCAGUCGUCGGGUAGUAUACUAUUCGGUGACACACCUAACGGAUUAAGCAUUCCGCCUGGGGAGUACGGUCGCAAGAUUAAAACUCAAAGGAAUUGACG